AAGUAAAAAGUCGUAACAAGGUUUCCGUAGGUGAACCUGCGGAAGGAUCAUUAUCGAAUAAACUUGAACAGGCUGUUGCUGGUCCCAGGACAUGUGCACGCUUGUCAUCUUUAUCAUCUCUCCAACUGUGCACACAUUGUAGACCCUGGAAUUCGUUCCGAGUGGGGACUGCUGUGCUUCGAAUUUGAAGCCGGCUUUCCCUCAGGUCUAUGUCCUUUUGUUUCACAACCUCUUGGAAUGUGUUUAGAAUGAAAUGAAAAGUUAUAAAUACAACUUUCAGCAACGGAUCUCUUGGCUCUCGCAUCGAUGAAGAACGCAGCGAAAUGCGAUAAGUAAUGUGAAUUGCAGAAUUCAGUGAAUCAUCGAAUCUUUGAACGCACCUUGCGCUCCUUGGUAUUCCGAGGAGCAUGCCUGUUUGAGUGUCAUUUAAACUCUCAAACCACGUCGUUCGUUCGAUGUGGCUUUGGAUGGUGGGGGUUUGCAGGCUUUUUCUUCUGAAGGCGUCUGCUCCCCUGAAAUGCAUUAGUGGCGUCUGGAGUGGAAACCGCUAGGUGUGAUAAAAAAAUAUCAUCUAUGCCUUCCGCAUGAAACAGAUUGUGCUGCUUCAAACGCAAACAAUUGUUGACAAACUUGACCUCAAAUCAGGUAGGACUACCCGCUGAACUUAAG
rnacentral:rRNA from 1 species